CACGUAAAGAACCUGUCCUUUAGCGGGGGAUAGCCCUGGGAAACUGGGGGUAAUACCGCAUAAGCCAGUUAGAGCGCAUGCUCCUGCUGGGGAAGGGGUGCGAAAGCAUCUCACUGAAGGAGGGCUUUGCGGCCUAUCAGGUAGUUGGUGGGGUAAAGGCCUACCAAGCCAAUGACGGGUAGCUGGUCUGAGAGGAUGGUCAGCCACACUGGGACUGAGAUACGGCCCAG
rnacentral:rRNA from 1 species